rnacentral:tRNA from 1 species
UGGUCAGUAGCUCAGUCGGCAGAGCGCCUCGCUGUUACCGAGGAUGUCACAGGUUCGAGCCCUGUCUGGCCAGCCA